AGGUACUCAAUAGGCAUAAUACAAAUAUUAGAGAUGGCCAAGGUACUCGAUAAGCAUAAUAUAAAUAUUAGAGAUGGUCAAGGUACUCAACAUGCUUAACACAAAUAUUCACACUAAAAAAUCAACAAUGAUAAAAAGUUUUACUUUAAAAAAUGAUUGCCACUCACUUUCAUUUGUUUCUCUACCCUACAAGGCAAGAAACUGUCACCAAGAUACCAACCAGAAAGUGACCAACAAACUGUUCAUCUUUCUUUUUCUUGUUUCAGUCCAUAUAACUCUACAACUACUUUAUCACUAACAUCAAUUUAAACCUAAAUUCACUCUGUGUUGCUGGGCAGUACACAAUGUCAUCUCUUACUUAUAAUAACUAUAGUAAUUAAAAACAAAAAUCACAACUCUAUUGUAAAUGAAGUUAUCGUUACCCCUUGAAGAUUUUUAUAGAAAUCUGUUAUAAAAAGUUUAAAUAGGAGUGAAAUGGGAAGUACCAGCCAAUAAUAGAUAAAAUUUAAAUGACUAACAUGUAGAAUACUCAAUGCUUUGUAUACUAUAUAAUUGGUGUCUUUAAGGAGCCAACCCCUAUAUUAUGUAUGAAUUGAAG